GACGAACGCUGGCGGCGUGCUUAACACAUGCAAGUCGAACGGAAAGGCCCUGCUUUUGUGGGGUGCUCGAGUGGCGAACGGGUGAGUAACACGUGAGUAACCUGUCCUUGACUUUGGGAUAACUUCAGGAAACUGGGGCUAAUACCGGAUAGGAGCUCCUGCUGCAUGGUGGGGGUUGGAAAGUUUCGGCGGUUGGGGAUGGACUCGCGGCUUAUCAGCUUGUUGGUGGGGUAGUGGCUUACCAAGGCUUUGACGGGUAGCCGGCCUGAGAGGGUGACCGGCCACAUUGGGACUGAGAUACGGCCCAGACUCCUACGGGAGGCAGCAGUGGGAAAUAUUGCACAAUGGGCGGAAGCCUGAUGCAGCAACGCCGCGUGCGGGAUGACGGCCUUCGGGUUGUAAACCGCUUUCGCCUGUGACGAAGCGUGAGUGACGGUAAUGAGUAAAGAAGCACCGGCUAACUACGUG
rnacentral:rRNA from 1 species